rnacentral:rRNA from 1 species
UACAGAGGUCUCAAGCGUUGUUCGGAUUCAUUGGGCGUAAAGGGUGCGUAGGCGGCGCGGUAAGUCGGGUGUGAAAUCUCGGGGCUUAACUCCGAAACUGCAUUCGAUACUGCCGUGCUUGAGGACUGGAGAGGAGACUGGAAUUUACGGUGUAGCGGUGAAAUGCGUAGAUAUCGUAAGGAAGACCAGUGGCGAAGGCGGCGCACUGGACCACAACUGACGCUGAGGCGCGAAAGCUAGGGGAGCAAACAGG